rnacentral:rRNA from 1 species
GACAGAGGGGGCAAGCGUUGCUCGGAAUUACUGGGCGUAAAGGGCUCGUAGGCGGCCAACUAAGUCGGAUGUGAAAUCCCCAAGCUUAACUUGGGAACUGCAUCCGAUACUGGAUGGCUUGAAUCCGGGAGAGGGAUGCAGAAUUCCAGGUGUAGCGGUGAAAUGCGUAGAUAUCUGGAGGAAUACCGGUGGCGAAGGCGGCAUCCUGGACCGGCAUUGACGCUGAGAAGCGAAAGCAUGGGGAGCGAACAGG